AUGAACGCUGGCGGCGUGCCUCAUACCUGCAAGUCGAGCGCACGGACGAGAAGCUUGCUUUUCUGAUGUUAGCGGCGGACGGGUGAGUAACACGUGGAUAACCUACCUAUAAGACUGGGAUAACUUCGGGAAACCGGAGCUAAUACCGGAUAAUAUUUUGAACCGCAUGGUUCAUAAGUGAAAGACGGUCUUGCUGUCACUUAUAGAUGGAUCCGCGCUGCAUUAGCUAGUUGGUAAGGUAACGGCUUACCAAGGCAACGAUGCAUAGCCGACCUGAGAGGGUGAUCGGCCACACUGGAACUGAGACACGGUCCAGACUCCUACGGGAGGCAGCAGUAGGGAAUCUUCCGCAAUGGGCGAAAGCCUGACGGAGCAACGCCGCGUGAGUGAUGAAGGUCUUCGGAUCGUAAAACUCUGUUAUUAGGGAAGAACAUAUGUGUAAGUAACUGUGCACAUCUUGACGGUACCUAAUCAGAAAGCCACGGCUAACUACGUG
rnacentral:rRNA from 1 species